rnacentral:rRNA from 1 species
UACGUAGGGGGCAAGCGUUGUCCGGAUUUAUUGGGCGUAAAGAGCGUGUAGGCGGCCUGAAAGGUCAGCUGUGAAAACUCGAGGCUCAACCUCGAGACGUCGGUUGAAACCAUCUGGCUAGAGUCCGGAAGAGGAGAGUGGAAUUCCCGGUGUAGCGGUGAAAUGCGCAGAUAUCGGGAAGAACACCCGUGGCGAAGGCGACUUACUGGACACAUACUGACGCUGAGGUGCGAAAGCGUGGGGAGCAAACAGG